AUUGAACGCUGGCGGCAUGCCUUACACAUGCAAGUCGAACGGCAGCACGGGAGCAAUCCUGGUGGCGAGUGGCGAACGGGUGAGUAAUAUAUCGGAACGUGCCCGGUCGUGGGGGAUAACGUAGCGAAAGCUACGCUAAUACCGCAUACGAUCUACGGAUGAAAGCGGGGGAUCGCAAGACCUCGCGCGAUUGGAGCGGCCGAUAUCAGAUUAGGUAGUUGGUGAGGUAAAGGCUCACCAAGCCGACGAUCUGUAGCUGGUCUAGAGAGGACGACCAGCCACACUGGGACUGAGACACGGCCCAGACUCCUACGGGA
rnacentral:rRNA from 1 species